UACGAAGGGGGCUAGCGUUGUUCGGAAUUACUGGGCGUAAAGCGUAUGUAGGCGGAUCGUUAAGUCGGGGGUGAAAUCCCGAGGCUCAACCUCGGAACUGCCUUCGAUACUGGCGAUCUUCGAGUCCGGGAGAGGUGAGUGGAACUCCGAGUGUAGAGGUGAAAUUCGUAGAUAUUCGGAAGAACACCAGUGGCGAAGGCGACUCUUUGGUCUGUAACUGACGCUGAGGCGCGA
rnacentral:rRNA from 1 species